rnacentral:rRNA from 1 species
AAGGGCACCACAAGAACGCGUGGAGCAUGUGGCUUAAUUUGACUCAACGCGGGAAAUCUUACCGGGUCCGGACACACUGAGGAUUGACAGAUAUACGCUGCGUUGCUGCACCUUCGGGUGUGCACGUGGCUCAAAGAUGCUAGUUCUUUCAUGAUUAUGUGAUAGGUGGUGCAUGGCCGUUCUUAGUUCGUGGAGUGAUCUGUCUGCUUAAUUGCGUAUCAAUAAUAGAGACCUAGUAUACGCGUAUUACUCGUGUGGUAGUGACCCCCUUCUCACGGAGGCGCGUGCCGUCAUACGGUAUACGCACUGGUCUCAGAUAGCAACGAACGUGACCGUAUUCUAUUGUUGCAGUGAAUUAUACGCGCGUGCUUUUACUAGCAUGUCGUUCCCACUGCUUAGUGUGCGCUGCCAGUACUUGUUGCUGCUGCGUCACACAUUAAACUAUAGAGACCGCUGUUUCUUCUUUAAACCAGAGUAAGGAUACGGCAAUAACAGGUCUGUGAUGCCCUCAGAUGUUCCGGGCUGCACACGUGCUACAAUGAUCAUUGCACUGUGCAUCUAACCCAAUGUGCGCGGACGGCCACGAUACGUAAUUUGUCUUCGG